GCGGAGAAAAGAAACUAACAAGGAUUCCCCUAGUAACUGCGAGUGAAGCGGGAAAAGCUCAAAUUUAAAAUCUGGCGGUCUUUGGCCGUCCGAGUUGUAGUCUGGAGAAGUGCUUUCCGCGCUGGACCGUGUACAAGUCUCUUGGAACAGAGCGUCAUAGAGGGUGAGAAUCCCGUCUUUGACAUGGACUACCAGUGCUUUGUGAUGCGCUCUCAAAGAGUCGAGUUGUUUGGGAAUGCAGCUCAAAAUGGGUGGUGAAUUCCAUCUAAAGCUAAAUAUUGGCGAGAGACCGAUAGCGAACAAGUACCGUGAGGGAAAGAUGAAAAGCACUUUGGAAAGAGAGUUAAACAGUACGUGAAAUUGCUGAAAGGGAAACGCUUGAAGUCAGUCGCGUUGUCCGGAACUCAGCCUUGCUUCGGCUUGGUGCAUUUUCCGGGCGACGGGCCAGCAUCGAUUUUGACCGUCGGAAAAGGGCUGAGGGAAUGUGGCACCUUCGGGUGUGUUAUAGCCUUCAGUCGCAUACGGCGGUUGGGAUCGAGGAACGCAGCACGCCUUAUGGCUGGGGUUCGCCCACAUUCGUGCUUAGGAUGCUGGCAUAAUGGCUUUAAACGACCC
rnacentral:rRNA from 1 species